GUCUGGGGAAAGCAGAAGUGAGUAUUGUGCGAGCCAUUCUUAUAUAAAGUGUCCAAGAUGAGGAGAUCCAACUGCCCAGCCCCAGCAUUUGAAAUCACAUACUCUGUACUGGCAGGGGAGUGAAACAUCAGAUAUAUAGGCUACUCUACUUUUUUCACCAAAGAGAAAACCCAAAGAAAUAUAGUCUUCUCCGUGCAUCACUGGCAAAGGCACAAAUUUUACACCCGAUGUAACAAAUGGUCUUUGACAGUCUUCCUCAAUUAUUUUCCAAUCAAGCUGUGCUACUCGUCUUACUUCUUGACCUUCCCUUAA
rnacentral:misc_RNA from 1 species